ensembl:lncRNA
GGGAACAGUGGGUGGAGCUUUCCUUCGAAGAACCAGGAUCUCCCCACUGCCCACAUCUGGCGUAGGCAAGGGAGAGUAAGGGUCCACAGUCUAGAGGGAGAGGCAGGAAGGCCCCCUCCGUGGCAAGUAGACUGCCUCCCACAACACGGUCACAGGCUGGAGAGAAAUGAGGAAGGAGACCAGCAUGAGCGAAAGUAGGAUGCAGGUAACUAUGCCAUGUGACUACAUACUGGCCAAUAGGAUGUGGGUGUUAGUGAUGUGGUCCACUUCUAAAUCGUGCCCUCAAAGGCCUAAGCAGUUCUGGGCAGGGGGACAGAGCCCUCAUUGCUUUGGAAGUCAAGCUCUUCUGGAAACCACCUGCAUCGACUUGUCACCGCUUUUCUUCUAAAUAAGAAUCUCCCUCAUCAUGUCUUACUUCUUCUUUUCAAACCAAGAUCUGUAUCUGGGUGGGGUGGGGUGAAAGCAGAACUUCAACCUUUGUGCAACCCUCUCUUUUGGCACAGAUCAGUCCUCUUGUAUUGGCUUUAUCCGUCCGGAUGUGUGUCUCUCUCAGCUGACCAGGAGCUUGUCUCAUGCAUGGGCUGAGGAGUGUUCAUCUUGGUAUACCUUUGAGUAGCUCAGGGCUGGGCAAAGGAGGUGCUCCCUGAAUGCUUGUUGAAUGACUAUAUGAAAGAAUGAAUCAUCUAAACCCAAUUUUAUCACCUCCCUAAACAGAGCCAAUUUCCCUCCCCACUGCCCUCCUACACUACUCUGGGACAAGACAGUUCUUGCAGAGGUAGGGACAGGAAGAAGUUAAUUCAGUUCUCAGUUCCAAAGCAGCUUCUAAUCCUUCUCUCCUUAAAUUACCUUUAAUCCACCCACUGUCAGCCUUAGCUCUGGUUCAGCUCAGAGCUGACUCUGACCCAGAG